GUUGUUUUUUGACAAUGCCACGCAGACGCAGACACGCCGCUCGCCCCGUUCGUAGACGUAGGAGGACUCGCAGGUCCUCCCACGACCACAGACGUAGGAGAGUUGUCCGACGCAGACACUAGGCAACGCUAAUAAACAUGUAGCACAAGCAUGAAAUGACAGUACCCUUAGUUUCUUUAAGCUUAGUAUAGUUAAAAAAGUUAUACUUUUUUUAAAUUUAUUUCAUUUUAAAUUAACGUCAACAUCAUAUUAGUUCCUCUGAUGAAGUCAGUGAUUUCUCACAGACAGCAGUAGUU